GGAGAAAUGGCAGAGUGGUCGAAUGCGGCGGUCUUGAAAACCGUUGUACCCUCGCGGGUACCGGGGGUUCGAAUCCCUCUUUCUCCG
rnacentral:tRNA from 1 species